ACUCAACUUGAGCUCGGCAGUAAAAGCAGAGAGGCAAAGAAAACACUUGUGCCCUGGGCCUGCCCUCUCCGGGUGUGGCAGCCUAGGGGGAGAAGUAUCAGCCCACCUGAGUCUGGGUUUGUGCAGAAACUUCCCUGGCGGAAAAGGCGUCGUAAAAGGGGUUUAAGAAAUCCCACUGGAUGCUUUCCCAGAGCCUUGGUGUUACGGCGCUCAGCUCCAAUGCACAGACUGCGCUACGAAGGCGCCCUGCGCAGGGAUUGGCUGCAGCACCCAGAGAACUCUAUAUUUGAGACCGUGAAGCCAACUUACUUCACAUUGAAACUUCCUUCUCUUUCACUUCCCUAUGAUAAAGCCUGAAGGAUAAUUCUGCCAAUAUUUUCUUCCAGCAAUAAUCAACUAUCUUACUAUCUGUAGUAAGUAGCUACUACAAAAUGUUAUGGCACAAUUGACAAUGACAUUAUACUACACAAACUUUCACCUCUGUCCUCAAGACAUUUUUACCAAAGAAGGGUUUUGAUUAUUCUGAACUCUAAGACUACUUCAAGACAAAAAGGAGGGAAGAACAUGUGCCAAGACACAGAUGUGCAGACCCAGUGCUGCCGGGAGGAUGGGGACAAGGAAGACAUCAAUGUGGUGAAUGAUGACUCAGGUUAGGGAUGGCAGGAGAGGAACUGAAAAGAAAGAUUGUGUUCUAACGAUGCAGUAAAGAAUCUGGAUCUCACCCAGUAAGCAGCAGAAAAGGCUCAAAGGACAUUUUUUCUCCAGAGACAUUAUCCAUUGGUUUUUUUAGGGAAAACAAAAUAACACCUGGUCAUGCUAUAGAGCAUUAACUGGGGAAGAGAGAAUGAGUGAGAGAAACACUGUUGCAACUAUCAGAGCAAGAGAUGAUGGGACCUAGUUUAGGGCAGUGAGAGUGUGUGCGUGGAGUGGAGGGGGCUCAUUUUGGAAAUCUUUCUGAGGCAUAGGCAAUGGUACUUAGUGUUCCACUGAUACUAUGGGUAAAGGAUGAGGGGUCAAAGUGGAGAGUGACUUCCUUAACCAAAGGAGGACAAGAAAAAGAAGCGAUGUUGCCGAAUGACAUUUACAAAAGUGUAUUUUCUAGUUGCAAGGAGUCUGAGAUACCUACGGAUUCUCCAAACAGGAUACCUAUAGACAGCUGAAAAUACAAGACUGGUUUUACACAGCAAUGUCAGAGCUGAAGAGACAGGUGAUAAUCACAGGCAUGAAUGUAUUGAAGUUACUGAGGGACUACAAAGUGAACAUAACUGGGAACAGCACCAUCAAAACGAUCAGCAUUUAAAGAGCAGGGAGUGGGAAGAGCCAAUGAUUGAAGCUGAGACUAAACUAACUGAAGAGAAAAUCAAGGCACAAUUCUUGCUAUAAUAUCCGAAGAGGGAACUUGCGGCAGACGGACUGGAGGGUGGGAUUUGCAUUCCUGUUUGGAGUCAGGAUUUCCAUGGUCUACACCUCAUGUGUUGCAUGUAGACGUUCAAGGUAUUUUUAUUGUGAUAUGUCAGCACACAGAAUUGGAAGGCAUGUCACAAGGUCAGGAGUUCGAGUUCUGUUGAUAGUCUCAGACCUCUUCCAACUUCAACAAGGUCAACAAGAUAAACCACAAACCUGGAUGAGUUCAUGUUAUUCCAGAUGCAUUAUCUCCUAAUCUUCAGGAAGAGGCUCCUUCAGCGGGAAGGAGCAUGGCAGGAUCUUCCCUGAAAAAACAGAAAUAGCCGUGUCUAAUCCCUGCUCUGCCUGGAAAGGAAAAGGCUCACCUACUUCCCAUGUCAAGGCAAGAAUCAGAAUUCCUCUCAAAUUCUUAAAACAUUGCAAAGUAAAGACAGAUACUAACUCUAAAUAUGAUUCAUGCUCAAGUUAUUAAAAAUGGAAUACAUUGUACCAGAAGGAAAAUGGUAAACAAUUUUAAAUUCCAAAGGCAAGGGAAUGUUUUUGGUUUAAUAACCAGAGUAUGGCUUCAACAGGAGCUUAUGUAGUAUACACACCAUAAUUAAAUCUAAUUCAAUCACCUGAGUAAUCAAGUGGUUAAGCGAAUAAACUAAGUAAUCAAUCGUAAAAGUGAUUUGCUGUUUAGAAGAAAGAAGUUGUAAUAUGUGUGCCAAUAUUUUUAAAGAAUAAGGAAUCUCAGGUCUUCAACUCUGUCAACAAUUAUUAGCAUUGUUUUGUUUCAGUCUUCUUAUUUACAGAGUAAAAAGACCAUUCAUUCAUUCAACAAGUAUUUAUGGAAAGCAGCAUUUUCUGAACAUGAUUCCUGCACUCAAGGUGUUUUACAAUCAUGUGGCCUGCCACUUUAUUGAAGAUGUUUUAGGGAAAACAAUUAACUUUUGACAAAGUUCAGAAUUAUUCAAACAUAACAUAAAUGGCCAAUGAAUCUUUUCAGAGAAAGCAUAGUCUAGUGGAUAAAUAUUUACACUAGUCUGCCCCUGAGUCUUACAAUUUUUCUAUGUCCAUUUUUCCUCACUCUGUAAUGGUGGGCAGACAGAAGGUGGGGCUAGCUGACCUUCAAAUUCCCUUCCAAUUUUUAUGAAAUACAAUUUUUAGUAUUAAGUGAGUAAUCACAUUGUGCAAGGUGCUUACCUGGAUAUAGCUCAGUUCUUUUUCUGAUUGCAAGAACAGAGCAAGAUGGAACCAUGAACUGCUAAACGACCCAUGGCAAUUUUUAAAGGAUUCCUCAAGCAGAUGGUUCUCUGGUAGUUCUUACAGCAGGAAAAGCCCCCUACAGUUCACAAAAGAGUCAAGUUGCAUUCUUCCAAACUGUCCUGAUUUUGCCGAUUUGCACAAUCUAAUAAAAUCUUUCCAUCAUAUUUCUCUUUUCCAUUUGUGGACCACUACUCAGUGAGUACAUUUAUUAUGUGUGGCUAAUAAUUUACUUUUUUGUUCUUUUUUGUUGUAAAAGCGUCAUAUUAACUACCUUUUGAGCGCAUGAAAAUGCAUAUUCGAAACAUUGCUGAGUUCAGAUUGAUUGAAUUUGACUGUGACCUUAGUGAGCCAUUCAUUUAUUCAACAAGGUUUGAUUGAACAUUUACCAUCCUAUCACUUCAGCCCACACAUUGGACAACCAAUCAGAGUUAUCACACUUCUUAGGGCAUAAAACAGAUACAUAUUCAUUAAGUUACAUAUUCCCAGUCCAAAUUAGCUUGACCCAAUUCAAGUCUUCCUUCAGAUUUUUAGAGUUCUUGCCAAAUCGUUUUCCUAUUCCCAUUUUCUCUUCACUUCCCAUUGCCCUCUUGUCCUCAAUUUCUUUUGUGUUCAUUCUCUCUCUUCUUCUUGUUUUCAGUUUCUGUCUUCUCUUUCACAAAGUUUUCUCACUUAGCUAUAAUGUAUGUUUAAUAAUACACUAUUUCAUUAUUGUGUUACUCAAAAUCCUCAAGCCACUUUAUCUCAAGAUGCAAAUACCUAGACCUCAGGUUCAAAGCUAAUAAUCUAA
rnacentral:lncRNA from 1 species